UACAGAGGGUGCGAGCGUUAAUCGGAAUUACUGGGCGUAAAGCGCACGUAGGUGGCGACGUAAGUCGGGUGUGAAAGCCCCGGGCUCAACCUGGGAAUUGCAUUCGAGACUGCAUUGCUGGAGUACGGAAGAGGAAGGCGGAAUUCCCGGUGUAGCGGUGAAAUGCGUAGAGAUCAUGAGGAAGACCAGUGGCGAAGGCGGGUCUCUGGACAGUUCCUGACACUGAGACACGAAGGCCAGGGGAGCAAACGGG
rnacentral:rRNA from 1 species